AAGGAGUCAUAGUUCCACUAAUCAGGAGGUCUAGAAGGAGUCAUAGUUCCACUAAUCAGGAGGUCUGGAAGGAGUCAUAGUUCCACUAAUCAGGAGGUCUAGAAGGAGUCAUAGUUCCACUAAUCAGGAGGUCUAGAAGGAGUCAUAGUUCCACUAAUCAGGAGGUCUAGAAGGAGUCAUAGUUCCACUAAUCAGGAGGUCUAGAAGGAGUCAUAGUUCCACUAAUCAGGAGGCACAGAAGGAGUCAUAGUUCCACUA